GUUAACAAUCCGAUAGAGAAGUUUGAUAAUGGAGAAACCGAGAUUGCUCUAAACCGAUCUGGUCCUUUUUAUUUCAUCAGUGGUAAUAAAGAGCACUGUGCUAAGGGACAGAAGUUGAUAGUCUUUGUCCUCGCCAUCAGAAAUCAACCUAAGGUACCCAUUUCCCCUGCCAAAGCUCCGUCGACUGCUCAACCCCCGAAGUCUCAUUCCCCGGUAGUUGCUCCGGCGAAGGCUCCCUCAACCGCUCAUUCGCCUAAAUCUCAUUCCCCGGUCUCUCCGGUUGCACCGGCCAAAUCUCCGACAGCUCACUCCCCCGCUUCUCAUAUUUCUCCGGCGAAGGCUCCGUGGACUGUUCAACCUCCAAAAGCCCAUUCCCCUGUUUCUCCAACUGCACCGGCGAAAGCUCCAACAAUGGCUCAUUCGCCUAAGUCCUCUGUUUCCCCAUCCCCGCACCCUGUUGCUCACUCACCGGCUGUGUCUCCGUCCAAAGCUCCAGCAACGACCCCAGCUAAACAUUCUCCUUCGCCGUCCCCCACAAACUCUCCAAAAUCAUCCCCUGCUACUCCUCCAAAGGCCUCACCAUCUACCCCAGAGAAACCUCCCAAGUCUACUCCAGCUUCUCCAGCGCCUGAGAAGACUCCACCUUCGUCCCCAACUCCUUCUGACGACAACAUGGCGCCGGCGCCAAGUCCCAGUGCAGCAGCUGUUGUGACCGUUACUUCGGUUAUGUCUACCCUCUUCACUGUGGCUUUUACCGUUUCGAUGUUUGCUUAAGUUUUUUCUUUUAAGAAUGGUUAUGUGUGUUUGAUUUACAUUUCUUUAUUCUGUUGUUGCUGGGUUUUUAUUAUUUGUUCUGAGUGUGUCCUUGUGUUUGCAUUAUGAAUUAUUACUUCUGUUAUUAAUAUCGCCGUGUUUGUUCUAAAAGCAUUUCAUUCGACAUUUAGAUGUAGGAGUGGGCAAAAAAAAAUGAACCAAACUAAACCAAACCGACCCUACUAAAUCCAAACCAAAAUAUACAUCUACAUCAUUUGGUUUGAGAUUUUAUAAACUAAAUGGUUCAGUAUGGUUUGGCUUUAAACCAAACCAAACCGAAUUGUUUUUUUUCUAAGUAGAUUAAUUAAAUAUAUUAAUAAUACUGAAAUUUAAUAUAUUUAACAUUUAAUUUAAACUAGUAAACAUAAUUUUAUCCAUUUUACUUUUAAAUGAAUAAGAUACAUACAACUACAAAUAAAAUAAAGAAUAUAAAUUGUAUAGAUUAACAUCAAAAUUGAAAAAUUACCAUGUAUAUUAGGUUUGAAAAUAAUAAUAUAAAAUUAUUGGAUUACAUAAAUAAAUUUGGACACUAAAUCAAUAUUUUCUUCAUAUGAUGGCGUAAAUUUGGAGGAGGUGAAGGCAACAACUGAGCUCGUUUCAAAUUAUUUUAUUUUAUUACUCUUUGUUUUUAUGUUUAAAUUUUAAAAUCUAUGUUAAAAAUGUUAUCUUUCAAUAUGUUUUAUUUAAUAAAUUAAUUUUAUCUUUAAAAAAAAAUUUAUAAUUAUUUUGUUAAGAACUCUUAGUUAAGAAACUACCAUUGGAGGCACAAAAUCGAACAGUUUCUUAACUAGAAUCCUUAAACCCACUUAAAUACAUUUAAUUAAUUAAAUAAUUAUUAAAGAAACCCACUUGAGUUUCAUGGAUAAUCAUGCUCUAAAUGCCUCUCAAUCCUUUCUGUCAACGUUCAAAUCCAAUUAUGAUUUAUUACCUUAAACAAAAAUAUUCCUUACUAUUAAAGCAAGAAGUAAUCUGUCACAUUUUCAUUUCCCAUUUUUGUAAGAUUCGCCUCCAAGUCUCCUAAACUUCUAGCACUAUAUAACAAUACUCAUUCCCCAAGAACCAAAGACGCACAAAAACCUAAUCUCAGAUCUCGCCGCUUCUCUUUAACCAUGGUGGCCCUCAUGAGAAGUCUCUGUUUUUCUUUCAUCGUCUUGGCUUCUAUUGCGACCCUCUUCUCAGUUGCGGAUGCACAUAAGUUUCAGGUCGGUGGUAAAGGCGAUUGGGUCGAAAAACCACAUGAGGGUUACAAUUCUUGGGCUGAAAGUAAACGUUUCAAAGUCCAUGACACAAUCCGUAAGAUCCUUUCUAUUGCUAUUAGUUUAUAUUACGAGUUUUAUUUAUAUAUAUAUAUAUGUGAUUGUGUUUGACAAAAAAAUAUUAAAAUCUUGUGUAGACUUUAAGUAUGCCAAGGGAUCAGACUCGGUGCAAGUAGUGGCGAAAGCAGAUUACGACGCAUGCAACGUUAACAAUCCGAUAGAGAAGUUUGAUAAUGGAGAAACCGAGAUUGCUCUAAACCGAUCUGGUCCUUUUUAUUUCAUCAGUGGUAAUAAAGAGCACUGUGCUAAGGGACAGAAGUUGAUAGUCUUUGUCCUCGCCAUCAGAAAUCAACCUAAGGUACCCAUUUCCCCUGCCAAAGCUCCGUCGACUGCUCAACCCCCGAAGUCUCAUUCCCCGGUAGUUGCUCCGGCGAAGGCUCCCUCAACCGCUCAUUCGCCUAAAUCUCAUUCCCCGGUCUCUCCGGUUGCACCGGCCAAAUCUCCGACAGCUCACUCCCCCGCUUCUCAUAUUUCUCCGGCGAAGGCUCCGUGGACUGUUCAACCUCCAAAAGCCCAUUCCCCUGUUUCUCCAACUGCACCGGCGAAAGCUCCAACAAUGGCUCAUUCGCCUAAGUCCUCUGUUUCCCCAUCCCCGCACCCUGUUGCUCACUCACCGGCUGUGUCUCCGUCCAAAGCUCCAGCAACGACCCCAGCUAAACAUUCUCCUUCGCCGUCCCCCACAAACUCUCCAAAAUCAUCCCCUGCUACUCCUCCAAAGGCCUCACCAUCUACCCCAGAGAAACCUCCCAAGUCUACUCCAGCUUCUCCAGCGCCUGAGAAGACUCCACCUUCGUCCCCAACUCCUUCUGACGACAACAUGGCGCCGGCGCCAAGUCCCAGUGCAGCAGCUGUUGUGACCGUUACUUCGGUUAUGUCUACCCUCUUC
rnacentral:lncRNA from 1 species